GUGGACUACUGGGGUUUCUAAUCCUGUUUGCUCCCCAUGCUUUCGUACCUCAGUGUCAGUAUUAGGCCAGAUGGCUGCCUUCGCCAUCGGUAUUCCUCCAGAUCUCUACGCAUUUCACCGCUACACCUGGAAUUCUACCAUCCUCUCCCAUACUCUAGUCUCCCAGUAUCGAAUGCAAUUCCUAAGUUAAGCUCAGGGAUUUCACAUCCGACUUAAAAGACCACCUACGCACGCUUUACGCCCAGUAAAUCCGAUUAACGCUUGCACCCUCUGUAUUACCGCGGCGGCUGGCAC
rnacentral:misc_RNA from 1 species